CUCCGGAGGAUCCUCGCGUUCUCCGUCUUUAUUGUUGUUCCACGGCGCGUAGGCGUCUGUUUACUUCAGUUGUGAAAGUUUAAGGCUCAACCUUGAAAUUGCAGUUGAUACUGGAUAUCUUGAGUACAUUGAAUGUGGGCGGAAUUCGUGGUGUAGCGGUGAAAUGCUUAGAUAUCACGAAGAACUCCAAUUGCGAAGGCAGCUCACAGUAAUGUAACUGACGCUGAUGCUCGAAAGUGUGGGUAUCAAACAGGAUUAGAUACCCUGGUAGUCCACACAGUAAACGAUGAAUACUCGCUGUUUGCGAUAUACAGUAAGCGGCCAAGCGAAAGCGUUAAGUAUUCCACCUGGGGAGUACGCCGGCAACGGUGAA
rnacentral:rRNA from 1 species